UAUAACUUUACAAAAAAUUUAUAGUUUGUAUAUUGUUGAAUAUUUAUAUAUUUACAUAUUAUAUUUAUAUAUUUUUCAAAGAAAUUUGAAUUUUUCUCAUUUUCUGAAUAUUUUAAAAUUCUUUAAAUCAUAAUUCUCUCUUAUAAAAUUCUCCAUCUCUUGAUUUUCAUCUUCACACAAUAUCUUUUAUAUAAUUUCAUGGUGAUUGAUCGCCAUUACAACAAUGGUACUAACAUAUACAUAAAAGAAAAGAACAAUCUAACUGCAAAAAUUUGUUAAUUCGCAUUUACUUAUAAACGAUAUAACGACAAAAGCGUCUUUCUAUUUCAAAACGUUCUAUUAAAUCUCGUAUAUUAUAAAUUUCCAAAUCAUAAUUUCUGUAACGUUCCAUUAACUAUUUUUCUAUGCUCGAUUUAUUACUCGGGACUGUCGAUCAUACGUCAAUUGAUUGAACCGUUUACGGUCGAUGAUUUUGAGAAAACGAAAAAAAUUCGUGUUUAAGUUCACAAGAUGUUAAAAUUUUUUGAUAAUUGGACUAUUUCGCCGAAAAUCCAAGCAUAGGGACAAUACGGAAGUUGACGUAAGGUCAGGGUCACUUGCAGAGAGGCACAGUUCAGGGUGGGAGAUAGAUCAUGAACCGAAGGUGGGAAGAAGGUGCACGGCAGAAGGGCGAGGAGGGGGAAAAGAGAGCAGUGGAAUGAGGAAGAGGGGGUGUGAGUAGAGAAUGAGAGAGAGAGAGAAUAUCAUAUGAGGAGGUGGAGAUGGAGGUGCGGUGUACGAGGGCUUCCCCUCAACAAGUGAUCGAAGUUCGCUAGACUAUAUAACCUGCGGCCGGGUCGCGACUAUGCUCAGAAUGCAUCGCGGAGCGUGGAUCUGUGAUUCGAACGAGUCGACGCCAUUUUUUUUUGUCGCGCGCCGACGGUACUAUUCAGGCAACUUUGUUACAUACGUUUUUAAAAGCAAAAUGAUGAAAAAUAUUCUUCACGAGAUAAAAAAAAGUUGUUGACGCGUUUCUAUUGUGUGAAGUAGGCGCUUGGAUGGUUAUUUGUAAUAAAUUAAGGAAAAUAUUUUAAAAAAUAUUUAUCAUUUGGGAAAAUUUAUGUGAUGAGAAAGAAUAUAAAAUAAGUAUUAAGAUAUAUUUUGUGUAUAUUAAUGUUAUUAAUAACGAGAAUAUAUAUAUAUAUAUGAUAACUUAUUUAUAUAAUAAAUUUGAAUAAAAAAUAAAAAUCGUGGAUUUUCAGACAACAAAAUCUGUGUUGGAUUAAAAUUGUUCAAAGUAAUUCAAGAUUAAGUAUUUGAGAUCAAAGUUUUAAAAUUUUUAUUAAAUUUUUCUAAAUGAUUAGUAAAUUCAGAUAAUGAGUUCGAUUAAUAUGAUAAAGUACAUAAUCUAUAAGAAGCAUAGCAUAUUUUUUGCAAUGAUUUUUUGCGAAAAAUGAUUAUGGAAAUUAACUUGAUUUUCCUACCGUACGUGUAAAUAUUGCUGUUCUCUAUUUGUUAACACAUUAUGUAUUUAUUCUAAAUAUAUUUUUAUUACAUUCAAUUUAACUUAAUAUUGUAAUAGUUAUAUGAAUAUAAAUUUAUCUAUACUAUAUAAUUUAAAUAAAUGUAAUAUAUUAAAACAUAAGGUAUUAACUUAUUAUAAUAUUUUUAUUAAAUUUUGAUUAAAAAUUAAAUUUUUUAAAUAAAAUUCUAUACUAUGUAUCGUUUUAUACUAAGAUUAUAAAAUGUAAUAUAGAUAUAAUAUAUAAUGUUACAAGAUGAAUAAAUUAAAAUGGAAUAUAAAUUAAAAUUUUCAAUUAUAAUAAUAUAAUUAUAACAUCAUUGUUGUAAUUUCUAUUUGACUAUCGUAACAUUGCCAUUAUUUUUUAAAACUGUUAACAGAGAAUGAUUAUCCGCGUUAUCUUUAACUUGAGAUCGACUUAACUACUAAUAGGUCAUCAAACCGAUAAAAAUAAAAUUUUCAUAUCUUUUUUUUUUUUUUUUUAAUUUUUAUCAUUGCAAGAUUGCUUUAAUCGAAUUAUAUGAUUUUUGAUGUGAACACUGAUUGAACUUGGAUAAUUUUUAAUUUAUAAAACUAAUUCCUCAGCGAAUAGAAUAAUAAUAUAAAAUAAAUACUUGUCUUAUAUAAUUCUCCUAAAAAUUUACAAUGAGAAAAUCACGAAAAUUAUUUAAUAUCAUAAUCUUUGAUUUCUUUUUUCUUUACAAAGAAUUUUCAAAUAUAUACUUCCAUCUGAACUAGAUCACUUGCUUGACCUUCUUAGUACAUCAAUUAAUCUUUACCUUUUUAGACUCGGUGUAUUUAUAGAAUAAAGUAGCUAUAUAUUAUAAUUUCUUAUCUUGAACCAGUAAUAUUGAUUGCAUUAUAGUAUCAAGUCAAGUAUUGUUCUCGUAUCAGAUUUUUCAUAAUUUAUUAUAAUAAUAAUAUAUUAAAUAAUAUAUUAAAAUUUUCAUUUAAUUUUUCUAAGUCCUUGCAAAAUCCUUUACAAUUAUUUGUUGAAAAGAUAUUUACAUGGUAUACAACUUUUCAAAAUCAAUUGCUUUUUUCUACGAAACGAUCAUUUUACACAAAAAGACACAGAAAUAAGAAAAAGUAUUUUGUACGUUCGCAGGCUGAAUUUAUCAGCGCGUUACGAAGCAAAAUCACUCCGCUUAAGGAGUAGUCGGCGUGAAGUGAAAGUGUGUAGAAUAGAAAUUAUUAGCAAGCCGCUAGUGCAGGUUCUUUACGGUAAUAAAACGAUUGGAUAACUCGUAUUCGUAUAUACGAGUGCGCUCUCUUGUGGAUUAUACAUCCAUGGAAGUUUUUUAUAAGUGUACAUGGGCGCCCACGAGAAAUUCUAAAUAAAUUACAGUGAUCUUCGAGCUGGAUUUCUGUGACCAACUGUCUGUUCUAUGCUCGCUUUUCUAAUCCAUAAACUUGCCUGUGCUUGGUUAAAGAAAUGGCUGUCCUGAGCGCAACAGUCACGCAGUUUUAUGUGUAAUGAAGUAGACAACAAGUUUUAUUCCCGUUUAGAAAGCUUCAAAUAUUUUCUUUGUUUCUUUUUUUUUUUAUUAUUAUUAUUAUUGUUGUGGAAUGAAAUUAUUGUGUUAAUCAUUUAUGUUAAUCGCUUAAAUUAAUAAAAAAAUUUAAUUCAAUUCAAAUUGACGUAAUAUUUCGUUGGUUAACGAAAUCUAUCUCAUUUUGAAUAGAAAAUAUUUAUACGAUUAUGAUUAUUUAAUGGUUUAAAUGAAAUUAUAAUGUAUAAUAUAAUGUUUCGUGUAUACCAAUUUAUUGAUUUAUGAAUGCAAUAUUUGCACUAAAGAUUAAGAGACAUGUAUCAUAUAUGUAUAUUUGAUAAUGAAUAUUUAUUAUUGUGAGAUUUACGAUAUUAAAGAUAUAGGCUAACAACAUGUAUUUAUAAUAAUUAUUCCUUAUUAUAUUUAUUGAAAAAGAAAUCAUCGUUCAUAUAUAAUGAAAUACAAAUAAUUUCAUUAAUAAAAUUAUUAAAUUAUUACUAUUUUCGUAUAUUAUAAAUACUAUUAUUAUAAUCAAUUACACGAUAUGAUCAUUAACAUCGGAGAUGGAGAAAAUCAAAGGAACCAUUGUUUUGAAAUUUAAUUUUUACAGAAAGACAAAACUGUUUUAUAUAUUGAUCACAACAUAUUCUGAAUAAAAUAUUGAACAAUUGCAUUAUUUAUUUAUGUGAAAUAACAACAUAGAAUCAAUAAUAAUAAUAUUGCAAAAAGCAGCAUUAUUAUACCACCAGAGAUUAUACCAUCUUUUUUAAUAUUAAAAUUAUUAUUACAAAAAUUAUGAAAAACUAGUUUUUUACUAUUCACGUAUUCAUAAAACAUUGUUUCUACGAAUGCAGAUUAUUACAAUAAAAAAAUAUAUAGGAAGCAAUUUUUUUUUACAAAAUCUUCAUAAAAUGCACAUUAACUUAAUAAAAUAUUCUUUAUCAUUAGAAAAUUUUAUUCGAAAUAUUCAAAAUUUAAAAUAAUUUCGUUUUUUGAGAUAUACUUCAUUAUUAUUUCAGUUACAAAAAUAUUUCAGACAUAUUGAAAUAUAUAAUGCUAUUAAUACUCGGUGACCAGAUGGAAACGUUAAAUGUCGAUCAAAGUCCCGCAUAAACUCAAUAUACAGUUCCGGGAAAAUAAUAAAUGUCGCUUAAUGUGAACUCGGUGAACUGUUUUUAUUUUUUAUUUAAACAAAAUUAUUAUAAUUUUGAAAAGAAAUUGUAGAGAAAUUUUUGCAAUCGUGAAAAGUAAUGGAAAAUUAAAUAAAAUGCAAAUCCGUAUCGUAAUAUAUUUUAAAAUUAUAAAAGAUAGAAAUAUUCGAAGUAUACCUAUGUUCGUCUUCUCACAAUCACUGUCGGAUCACUGUUGCAUACCAAGCGUUCUGAAUUCAUCUUAUACAGUUUACUAGCUAAUCUAAAUAUUUUAUCCUUAAAUUCCGAUUUCGAAACAACUAGAAAAUUAACCUACUUAAUCAUUUUUAGUUGUUUCUUGUUAUGUUAAACGAAUAAACUUUCUAAAUUUUAUUACAUUUGAUUUCUUUUCCUUUGUUAUAUUAAUUGAUAUUGAUUCAAUGAUGACGAAGCAAGAUGAAGAAGUAAUAAUAUGUAUAUAAUAAAAUGUCUAUUGCAUUUGUAAAAAAUUUUACGUUGGAAAAAUUUAUAUGAAGUACGAAGUUAAAUCUUUUAGCAAAACAAAAUUUUUUUAAAAUUCAUCCACAUAAUAUAAUUAUGUAUUAUAAUUAAGUACAAACAAACGCGUAAAAUCAUCAAAAUACAACACAAUCGAAUAACCAACCAGUUAAAAACAAACGUAAACCACGCGGAAAAUAAAGAGUAAAGUCACUACAUUUUAUCGAGAUAACGUAUAUUGUCAAAGAACCCAGUGGCGGAACAUCACGCUCUUACCGGUUCCGGCAAGAAAAAGUGUGCGGUAGGAGGAAGAGAAGAAUAAGGAGAAAAUAAAAAAGAAAGAGAAAGAAAGAAGAUUCCCUUGCAAACGAUAGAAGCCCCGGGAGAAAGACCAAGAUUGCGAGAGCCGUGGAGAGGCAAAGAGAUAUACUAUGGCGCGACUGGUAGAGAGUCUUCUGGUGGCCGUCAAAGGGGCACGCAGCGUAGUCUGGCAUUGGUCUGCUCGCUAUACGCAGUGCGUGUAGCGUGCGAGGAAUCCACGACGAAGUCGGUAAUGCUGAGUCAGUCAGGUGCCGCGGCGCCUUACAUUGCUUGGAAGUAGUCGGUGUCCGCGUAACAGAGAAAAAGAAUCGGAGAAUACAAUAUGGAAGCUGAAGUAUGUUAAAAGAUUACAGAAUAAAGAAAAAAAAUUAAUAUGAAUGUAAAAAGGAGAAGUAUAAGAGGAAAGAAUGAUGAGAUAGAGCAAAGAGAGACAAGAGAGACAAAAGCAGAAUAAAACGGAGAGAAAGACGAAAUGCUACUGUGGGGGAAGAGGUAGAGCGGGGCGCUUGCUGGUUCGCUCCCCGGUGAUGAGGUACGGUCGAUAUGGCAACGCCGCGCCCUGCCACACGCAUACCGGCAUCACCGCCCGCCCAAGCAUCGAACAGUCGGCAACGUCGCUUCGGCAACACGCGGGGGAGAUGGCAGUCAAGCUCUCACACAUCGAACGACGAGGAGAGCGACCUCAUGCCCUGCACACAUGUGCAGCCGGGGACACUGAAGAGACUGAGAUGCCUGGUUGGUUGCUGCUGCUGCUGUUGGCUUGUUCGCUUGCUUUCUUGCCUGCAUGACUGUCCCACGCACGCGCUUAUCUGACGUGCACCCCUGUGUCCAAAUUGGCGAAGUACUUUUCACUUGGAAGUUCGUUCUUUUGCUGCGGAAAAAAUAGGCAUCUGCUCUCUCCCCUCUCUCGCCAAGUUCCUUAGUUUAUUCUUAUAUUUUUUUUUAGAGAAUCCAUAAUCAGAAUUUUUAAACGAAUAAAUAAUGUGUUAAUUAAAAUAUAAACAUUUUUUUUAAAUAUAAAUAAUUUAAUAAUUAGAAAUGUAAAAAAUAAAAUGUUUUUUCGAUGUCAGUUUUCUGUUUUUGAAAAUAAAAUUUAUUAAAAACGAAAUAUUCUUUAUACAAAA